rnacentral:rRNA from 1 species
UGGGGAAUAUUGGACAAUGGGGGCAACCCUGAUCCAGCGAUGCCGCGUGAGUGAUGAAGGCCCUAGGGUUGUAAAACUCUUUCGCCAGGGAAGAUAAUGACGGUACCUGGUAAAGAAGAUCCGGCUAACUCCGUGCCAGCAGCCGCGGUAAUACGGAGGGAUCUAGCGUUAUUCGGAAUAACUGGGCGUAAAGCGAGCGUAGGCGGAUUUGUAAGUUGGAGGUGAAAUCCCAGGGCUUAACCCUGGAACUGCCUUCAAAACUACAUUUCUUGAGUUUGGUAGAGGAGAGUGGAAUUCCUAGUGUAGAGGUGAAAUUCGUAGAUAUUAGGAGGAACACCAGUGGCGAAGGC